rnacentral:snRNA from 1 species
UUCACUUCUCUCGUUCUU